CCUGCACUCAUCCUGCCGCUGCGCUCUCUGCCAGCUGCCAGCCCGGCACAGUCUGCAACUGAGAGAAUGCCACCCAUUUAGGAAAGAAGACUGCUGUGCUGGAAGGAAAGGUUUCCUAGGCAAGCCUUGCUGUGAGCGGGCACGGUGCACAGCGGAGUAAAAGUUCCGCAGGUUGUGAGAAAACAAAAACAAAACCUGUCAAGCUGGGGCCUCUUCCUGAAAUGUAAAGCAAACUGAAAAUUCAUUAAGAUGUUGAGAGACGUGGAUGAGUCAAAUAAAAUGGAUAAGCGCUGGCUCCAGACUAAAGAGAAGUAAAAUUAGAGUAUGAGUCUGUGGAGUUUGCUCAGUGAUUAAAGCAUUUGUGCAAUCAAGAGGACUAGAUUUGGAUUCUAAGAAAUCAAGUGAAUGUUGGGUAGAAGUGGAAGUCCACCUAAAAUUCUAGUCUCAAGUCAGAGAUGGGAUCCCUGGAUUAAGCUGGUCAGUUAGCUGUUGUUUUAAUGAUUGACCAUGCCUCAAAAGAAGAGAGAAGACCAGAUGAGGAAGAUCUCUGACACCAAUCUUAGGCCUCCACCCAUAAACACACAUGAAAAAAUGAGCAGAAAUAUAGUCUUCUAGGGACAAGGUGUGUAUUCACUUGUUUCCUGCCUGGAAGCUCUACCUGGAAAGCAGAGGAGAAAAUCUCAAGAAGCCAACUGCUUUUGUUGAAUGACCAACAGCAGUACCAAGGAGUCAUUAUAGCUCCUUACAGUGGACUACUGAGAGCAAUGUAUGGGCUAGAUGCAAGCCAAAGAUAAUGAAUGGAAAAAAAGGAAGAGAGAGAGAACAGUUUCUACUUUUCUUUUUUCCAGGAAGAAAUAAUUUAUUAUUUUGAUUCACAGUUCCAAAGGGAGAGAGUCCAUCAUGGCAGAAAGGCAUGGCAGCAGGCAGAGGAACAUGUCAGUAGAAGGAAGCUGCUGAUCAUAUUUUAAUCCAUACAGGAAGCAGAGAGCUUGUUUUGUUGUUACCGUUUUAAAUUUGUUUUUCAAGACAGGGUUUCUUUGUGUAGCCUUGGCUGUCCUAGAACUUGCUUUGUAGACCAGGUUGGCCUGGAACUCAUGACAUGCAUCUCCCCAUCCCCAUCUGCUGUUUUAAAAUUUUGUUUUUGAGACAGGUCUGUGUAAACCUGGACCUAUGUAGACCAGGCUGGCUUCCAAAUCACAGAGAUCUCCCUGCCUCUGCUUCCUGAGUGUUGGGAUUAAGAGUGCAUCACCAUGCCCAGCCUUAUUUACUUAUUAUUUAUUUUUGUGCACUGCAUGUGUUCAGGAGCCUGUGGAGGCCAGAGAGGGCUUGGAUUCCCUAGUACUAGAGGUACUGAUGGUUGUAAGCCACCGUAUGAAUGGAUGAUAGAAACUGAACCUGAGUUCUUUGCAAGAGCACUAAGUGCUCUUUACUGCUGAGUGAGCCAUUUCUCCAGCCCUUAGAAUAGUUUUUUUUUAUAAUUUAUUUUUAUUUUAUGUGCAUUGGUGUUUUGCCUGAAUGUAUGUACAUGUGAAGGUGUCAGAUCUAGAUUCAUAUGCUAUUAGGCUGGAAAAAAAAAAAAAACCCAACCCAAACCAGAAAAGAAUUUAGCAGUGCUACUAAAGGGGUCUUAGUCUCAUUCUAGGAUUUCAUGAACAGUUACAGGAAUCCAACUGUCAGAAAAAUGCUGUUUUGUGGAUACUAUUUCUACAAAAAGCUGAAUUAAAAGUUGA